GACGUAGGGUGCGAGCGUUGUCCGGAAUUAUUGGGCGUAAAGAGCUCGUAGGCGGUGUGUCGCGUCGGCCGUGAAAACCUGCAGCUUAACUGUGGGCGUGCGGUCGAUACGGGCAUCACUGGAGUUCGGCAGGGGGAGACUGGAAUUCCUGGUGUAGCGGUGAAAUGCGCAGAUAUCAGGAGGAACACCGGUGGCGAAGGCGGGUCUCUGGGCCGAUACUGACGCUGAGGAGCGAAAGCGUGGGGAGCAAACAGG
rnacentral:rRNA from 1 species